GACGAACGCUGGCGGCGUGCCUAAUACAUGCAAGUCGAGCGAAGUUUUUCUGGUGCUUGCACUAGAAAAACUUAGCGGCGAACGGGUGAGUAACACGUAAAGAACCUGCCUCAUAGACUGGGACAACUAUUGGAAACGAUAGCUAAUACCGGAUAACAGCAUUAACUGCAUGGUUGAUGUUUAAAAGUUGGUUUUGCUAACACUAUGAGAUGGCUUUGCGGUGCAUUAGCUAGUUGGUGGGGUAAAGGCCUACCAAGGCGACGAUGCAUAGCCGACCUGAGAGGGUGAUCGGCCACACUGGGACUGAGACACGGCCCAGACUCCUACGGGAGGCAGCAGUAGGGAAUCUUCCGCAAUGGACGAAAGCCUGACGGAGCAACGCCGCGUGAGUGAAGAAGGAUUUCGGUUCGUAAAGCUCUGUUGUUAGGGAAGAAUGAUUGUGUAGUAACUAUACACAGUAGAGACGGUACCUAACCAGAAAGCCACGGCUAACUACGUG
rnacentral:rRNA from 1 species